CUUUUGCACACUGCUUGACCUGAUGGCAAAUAAGUGGCCUGGGCUGGUCGUCACAACAACUCUGAAGGUUGCACCAAUAUUCAGCAACAAAGUCUAUCUGUGGAAGGCGAUGUUCUCUGUGCGCCAGACUCUGGAGAAGGUUUUGAAGGAGCUGCAAUUCCAGCUCCAGGACUGGCAUAGCAACAUCUUCACUCAGCAGCAGAAGUCUUGCCUCACGUUCUUGUCUAUGCUGGUCUCUGAUGAUGUGGAUGAAGAUGAACUGGAUCCGUUGUACAAAGAGUUGAGAUCUCUGAAGUAUUCAGGAAUAGAA
rnacentral:lncRNA from 1 species